rnacentral:lncRNA from 1 species
UCCCAAUGAGUUUUUACGUUUUAACUAAGGCAUUCAAGUAGAGAAUCAAGGACCAAAAUAUCAUGCACCACCGUUUUUCCCUGACAAUAAGCAUACACUUUGAUCACUUAGAAUGGGUUUUUAGAAGGUCAGAACCAAAAUUAUGGAAGACUAGAGAUCUGUAUAAACGAUUCUGAACCAUAUAGCAUGCACCACCACCAAAAUUUAAUCCCUUUAAAAUCAAGCCAAGGCUUUAUUUUUCAACCGAUCUGGUCUAUAACCAAGGCAAUAUAUAGAACUCGGACAAGUAUCAUGCACCACACUCUUAACCCCAGUCAUAAGAAUGGGAUAUAUUAACCCGAGGCAUUUGAAUAGAAAUUUUGGGACCAAUUAAUACGCAACAACGGGACAAGGAGAGUUUUUGCAUUAAACUAAUUCAUUCCCAAAUCGUAUGUAUCCAUCACUAUUCUUUCUUUCCGAGCCGAGGCAUUUGUUUACCGAUUUGGGACUGAAUUGGAUUAACACAAGCACCACCACACCAUCUUAUUUGUUAACGACCAACCCUAAAUCGAAAACAAAAAAGACAACCGAACCGCAAUUACAUAACGCAGCCAAGCCUUUAUUUUUCAACCGAUCUGGUUUUAAACCAAGACAAUCUGGGACUCGGACCAAGUAUCAUGCACCACACUCUAAACCCCAAUCAUAAGCUUAUCAUGAUAAGCUUUAGAAUGGGUUAUAAAUUAACCCGAGGCAUCUGAUUAGAACAUUAAGGGACCAAUUACGCAACAACGGGACAAGAAGGGUUUUUUGUAUCAAUC